AGACUUUGAUCUGGGUUGUUCCAACACCGUUCUUUCACUCAGCUGACCGUGUCACAGACUUCAUUCAAAGGCCGAAGCUUCAAGAAGCUCUGAUGUGAAGGAUUCAUUCCUGCAGUGUCAAAGCCAUGGCUGUGAAACUGAUCGUUCCUCCUGAACAUAACAGGCGGAUCAGGUCAGUGCAGCAAAAAGAAGAUCAGACUCAGAGCAAGAGGAGCUCCAAAAACUUUUCCACUCCACUGAUGGCCUUCAUAAUGAGCAGACUGCAUGUUGUGGAAACAAAAACUCAGCGUCUUAGACAAGAUACUCCUGUCAGAUGACCUGGAAGGAGGUGCUUGGACCGGUUUCUGGUACGAUGCAAUGAAGCAGACAACUGACAGACUGUUUCCAUCCCUCAGUCCAGCCAUCUUCUACUGCUGUUCUGGAUUUUGGUCCAGAUCUCAUUCCAGUUGGAUAGAAACUUCUCACCUGAGAGCAGUUUAGGAGGCUUCACUAAUCCGUCAGAAGGACGAAACAUUAAACUCUCCAAAAGCAACCGAACUCAUCAUCUUCUCAGAGAAACUGCAAAAAAUAGACAUUUCUGUAUAUAUGUAAACUUUUCUACUGUAUUUAUUAAAUAGAUGUUAUUUGACAA